rnacentral:rRNA from 1 species
AGCAGCCGCGGUAAUUCCAGCUCCAAUAGCGUAUAUUAAAGUUGUUGCAGUUAAAAAGACUCGUAGUUGAAUUUCGGGAUCAAUACGUCGGUCGUGCUUCGGUACGUACUAACGUCAUUGAUUUCUCCCUUCUGACGAAUCGUGAUGUCAUUAAUUUGGUGUUACGGGGAGUUAGGACUGUUACUUUGAAAAAUUAGAGUGUUUAAAGCAAGCAAUCGCUCGAAUACAUUAGCAUGGAAUAAUGAAAUAGGACGUUCGAACCUAUUUUGUUGGUUUCUAGGAUCGACGUAAUGAUUAAUAGGGAUAGUUGGGGGCAUUAGUAUUCAAUUGUCAGAGGUGAAAAUUCUUGGAUUUAUUGAAGACUAACUACUGCGAAAGCAUUUGCCAAGGAUGUUUUCAUUAAUC